rnacentral:rRNA from 1 species
GACGAACGCUGGCGGCGUGCAUAACACAUGCAAGUCGAACGGAAAGGCCCUGCUUUUGUGGGGUGCUCGAGUGGCGAACGGGUGAGUAACACGUGAGUAACCUGCCCUUGACUUUGGGAUAACUUCAGGAAACUGGGGCUAAUACCGGAUAGGAGCUCCUGCUGCAUGGUGGGGGUUGGAAAGUUUCGGCGGUUGGGGAUGGACUCGCGGCUUAUCAGCUUGUUGGUGGGGUAGUGGCUUACCAAGGCUUUGACGGGUAGCCGGCCUGAGAGGGUGACCGGCCACAUUGGGACUGAGAUACGGCCCAGACUCCUACGGGAGGCAGCAGUGGGGAAUAUUGCACAAUGGGCGGAAGCCUGAUGCAGCAACGCCGCGUGCGGGAUGACGGCCUUCGGGUUGUAAACCGCUUUCGCCUGUGACGAGGCGUGAGUGACGGUAAUGGGUAAAGAAGCACCGGCUAACUACGUG